UACAGAGGGUGCGAGCGUUGUUCGGAAUUAUUGGGCGUAAAGCGCUUGUAGGCGGCUUGUUAAGUUCCGUGUGAAAUCCCCAGGCUUAACCUGGGAAGUGCGCGGAAAACUGGCGAGCUUGAGUGCCGGAGAGGGUCGCGGAAUUCCCGGUGUAGAGGUGUAAAUUCGUAGAUAUCGGGAGGAACACCAGUGGCGAAGGCGGCGACCUGGACGG
rnacentral:rRNA from 1 species